GGGACGCAUGCGCUCGCGGGGAGGCGGCCGCCAUAUUGGCUCGGCGCGCGGCACGCUGAGGUAUUUAACGGAUAAGAUGCGCCGAUUUGGAGGAUCUUUUGCGGUAGGACCAAGCCGCACGCACCUGACCGGAGGUCCCGGCGCAGCGCCAGCGCAGACCGCGGCUGUGACUGGAGGGGUCGGGGCGGCACCGGGGCCCCGAGGGGUCCUGGGGCCCGGCGAGCCCGUCGGGGCCCGAGCGGGUUGCCCGGGUGGCCCUGCCUUGGGCACGGGGCUGGGGCGGGACGGCCGCAGCGGGGCGGCGUAGCCGCGGCUGCUCUGACCUGUGAAUGUUUCCUAGAGAGUGACAGACACUUUCUAGCGGGAUCGUUUUUUUCCUCAACAGUCAUCCGAAAGCUGUAGAUUGUUUCUUUCGGAUUUAUACUAUGGGGUUUGGUUAGGGGGAACUGGAAUAUUUUCUAAGGUGAUGGUCUCUAACCUAUUCUAGAACUAUUGCCUAGUUUCUCCCAUAGGAUAGUGUAGUAUUGUCCUACUGUUAUAUAUUUUUUUAUUUGUAUGCAAUUCAUCUGGGAACAGCUGUUAGGGUGACCAAACCCAGUAUGGUUAAAAUGGCACAUCUGGGUUGAAGCACCUAAAAUUACCUCUGCUAAAGACUUUUGCUCAGCAGUCACAGUGCCUGUGAUUUUAAUGAUAAAUCUGCUUUAAUUUCAAUCCUCAAAAAACCAUCCUAGCCUUCAAACUUUACCCUGUGAAGUCCCAUGCAUCCUGAAACCCACUUGGGUGACUGCUGUCUCUUGUUCCUGUGCCAUGCUCCCUGCACCUCACACACGUAAAAGCCGCACCCUUUCUCCUCCUCUGCAGUCCUCAGACAUACGAGGGAGCUAAGUGAGAAGCAGGAAAAAGAGGCUGCAGCAUUAACAGCCAAGGAGCACAUGCCGUCUCAUCUCACAGACCCCUGCUUACAGAAACCUUGCUGAAUGUACGUUCCUAGCAGCAGCCUAGCGCUACAGCACCCCCAUUUCACCCGGCCUGAUGCAGCCCUUGUGCCACCCCUAGCAUGACCCAGAAACAUGCCCUGAGUUUCAGGAUAAAGGAGGGGACUGCAUAGUUGCAAGCAGAUCCCUUGAAUCCAGCAUACAAUCCACACGAGGCUCGAACACCACAUGGCAAUCUCUCCCAUUACCUUUAUUUUUAAGCUCAUGAAACCUCAUCAUGUGAAAAGCUUGAGACCGGGUAAUGUUACCUAAUAAAAUGAACAGUACACAGUGGUAUGACUUAUCUUAAAAAAAAAAAAUCAAAAUGUUUGAAUAUUUUAUGCUUUCACAUUUGUCUCUUUUCCAUUGUAAUUUUUAAUACCUUACAAGUUUAAACAUUUCCCUUAUAAAUUAUUUUGUGAUCUUGAUAUACACACAGUUCAGCUGUCACUCAGAGACUGUUACUUGACAGUUCAAAGAUGUUAUUACAGUCAGUUGUGGGAAAAAUUAUCUUAUGCUGACAAUUGGUAUUUUCAAGACAUUUGAAAUAGGGAAAAAUUCAUUCUUUAGUCUCUAAGUUGGCACAAUCCAUUUAUCAGGUCUCAUGUUGUGGCAAAAAUUAUGGGUAUUUUUAUCUCUGAUGUAUUACAGUGCAAUGUAUAAAUAGUUUAGUGAAAAGUAGCUAUCAAAAUCCAAAUUCAGUGUUCCGCUAUAAUUGAAAAAUCAGCAUAUUCUUCAUAAAUGCAAGUGAGCUGCUAUCUCUUAUUCCUCCCUCUCAAAAACAAUUAAUCAGAGUGGUGAAAUAAUUGCAUUUCACAGAAUUUCAGCUAGGACAGAAAUUCAGCUAGGUUGUUUUAAAAGAAUUUUUUUCCACUUGACACUAUAUAAGGUUAAAAUACAAAUCUUCAAAAUACCCUUUAAUCAAUAAAAAGAACAAAAAAGUUAAAAAAACCCUCCUAUUUAAUUUUCUUAUACAUUUAAGUGGAGCAUCAGUCUAUGGAGAAAAGAGUUAAGACAGGGCUCCCACAAUAUAGAGUUCAAAUGGCUGUUCUUGAAAGAACUUGCAGUCUUUUCCUGCUUCCUAUUGGCAAUGACGAAUGAAGUGUAAUUCUAGAGCAACACCGCUCUUUUUGCCACCUAUUUUGUACUUUUUGAAUGGCCUAAAGUUUUGUUUACAUUUCAGUACACAAUAGUUUUUGCAUUGCAUUGGUAACUGCUGUUACUCUGGUAUUACAAAACACAGCUCAUUCAUUAUAGGUGAAACUAAUCACAGUGCACUGAGCCUGCCAAAUCCUUAAUGGCAUUUGGUUUAGCUUUUACUCUGUGAUUACCACCAGUUCAAACCAAUAAUACAUAGUUAAAGAUUUAAAAGAAAGUAAGUGAAAACAAACAUAGCUGAAUUAGUGUAUUAGCUGUUUUUGAGAUUAUAUUUGACUGAGAUCUCAUGGACAACAUUUGAUGUUUAGGAACCCAGAAGACAGCAAACAUAGUACUUUUGUUUAAAUGGGUAGGAAAGGUACACCCUGGAAUUACAGACCAGUCAGAAUUCUGAGAAGACUGCUAGAACAAAUGAUUCACACCUAAAAGGCAACAUAGAAGGUAUAAGAGAGAAGCAAUAGAUAAAACCUUUGAUACUUAAAAUAUUUUAGUGGAGUAAGGCUUUAAAUAUCACAUGACGUUCUCAUAAGCAAUGAAAUAGAUUAGAUUAAGCUACCUCAAGGGAUACCCGCUGAUGGUACUUGGAAGAUUUCUACUCGGUGUUGUUACAUACAGCUCACUGUCAAACAAAACACAAGUGGCUUUUUGCCAGGGAUAAUCCCAGGACUGGUGCUGCUCGGUAUUUUCUUUAGUUAUCUGGAUGAUGGAAUAGAGAAUUCAUUUUUAAUCUGUAGCUGAUCCAAAGCAGAACAGAUUUGCAAGUAUUUUGAAGGGCAAAAUCAGAAUCCAAAACUACCUUCAGAAUACAGAUAAAGGUCUGAAAUAAGUAGAAUACAAUUUCAAUAAGACCAGCUGGAAAGUAUUGCAAUUUUUCUGGAAAUAAUAACCUGCAUAAAUACAAGUUUGGAAAUUGAUAGCCAAAGAGCAAUUUUGUAGUUGGGCUUUAUAGCUGAUCACAAAAUGACCAUGUCAAUAGCUGUGCUAUUGCAAAAAAAAAAAAAAAAAAAAAAAAAAAAAUUAUGUAGGACUUGCAAAGUCAUAUUCUCCACUAGAAUAUCUGCUCCAGCAGCAGACUGCAUGAAGCAGAAGUGAAUCAAAAUGGAACAAGUACAGAGGGCAGCACUGUAGGUUUAGAAAACAUGAUCUACGAGAAAAGGCAGAGAAUCUAAGCAUGUUUUAUCUAGGGAUGAUAACACUGAAGGGACAAUAUGGUUGCUGCAGAAAUCAUCUAUUCUCAAUGCCUAUGGGAAUAGAAGUAGUAAUGGAUUCAAAUAGCAGCAAGGAAGUUUGUUUUUUGGUUUGUUUGUUUGUUUAUUUAUUUAUUAAGACAUGAGGGAAGCUCUGAUAGUCCAAGAAAUUUAUAUAAUGACACAGAUGGCCUAGGAAGGUUAUGGAAUCUCCAUCGUACAACAGUGGAAAAAACCCCCCAACAAUUAUAUGGAAAUCUAUUAGGACUGAUUCAGUUGGAACUGAGCCUACCUCAGGUAAGGGGUAAGCUACCUGGCUUUCCCAAGUCCCUUCUCACAGGCAGCGAGUGUUUGGCUCCUAGCACCUGUCUCCUGUUCUCCAGGACUAAAUCACAGGCUUGGGACCUGACAGAACAUCAUGAAUAUUGUGACAGAUUCUUGUACUUUUGACCAGAACAAAGCACAGUGCUCCAGAGUAUCUACUCAAAAUUGUAUCUUGCUCUUUGCGUCAUUAGUAUGGUAAAGAUAGAACCUUCUCCUGUUUGCUACUGCUGCCAUAGCAAUCAGAGAAAAUCCAUUCUAGUAGAGUGUGUGUUCCUGUGUGGUUACAUUUUAUGACUGAUAGUAUUAUGUAGGCCUCCUUUCAUCAUGGUUUGAGCCAUGCAGAGUUACAUGAGAGGAAGAAUUCAGGCCCCCCCCCCCACACACACACACACCCCUCUAUCCUCAUAUUUCAAACAACAAAUCUUAAUGUUCUGGCUUCUAGAUAAGGCUUACUUAACUAUUAUUCUACAUAGAAUGGAAAAUUCAUUUUCCCCUCUAAAAAUUAGUCUUCUGCAACUUUGUUUUUUACUAUUCCCAUCAAAGGUCAAUUAAAAUAUGAGGUAUAUAUGGCCGAGUGCUCUCUUGAAGCAGUACAGCUCAAUGACAAAAAUAACUAUUUUGGAAAUGCCAGGUGUUUUUUGAAGCCUUUGAAGACGUAAGAAGAGAGGACUUUUCACAAACCAAAUGACUAAAGAGAUGCUUAUAGUCAAAAACAUUAGGAAAUGAGGAGAGUAAUUAUUAUACUCUUAAUACAUAACUUAAAAGUUUCAUUAAGUAUCAGUUCUGGCCCAUUUUUAAACCCUGUCCCGAGUUUUGCAAAGGUCUUUAUACAGUGCUACUCACUCUACAAAUUGUGUGCCUUGGAAAAAACAGGUCCAAAAUUAAAUCGUAGUAUUACCUUGUUGACAAAUGAUUUUGUAAAAAGAACAGCUUACACCAGAAGGAUCAAAGUCAAAGCCUUUAUUAAGUGUUCCUUCUUUAAACAGACCGCAUUUAAUCCCCCUUUUGCAUUUGUGAUUUCUAAGGCUAUUUUAUUUAAAUACUUUGUUUUACAGGGGUUUUCAGUCUUCAGAACCGUCACAAGCAGCAAGUUAGCAGUACACAGAAACAAUACGCUUUAACUUUCACUGAGUUCUAUUCCUGCUUCACAGGGUCUGUGGAAAAGACUGACAGUAGUUCCAGUACUGGCGUUUUUGCACAGACCCUGAAAAGGAGAUAGGUUUCACCAGAGUUUAAGCUUGAUGUGCUCUAGCAACAUCUCACAAUUGGCCACAAUUUACCAGUAUGAUUGGUGUAACUAUUUCUUGUGCAUUAUCUGUUUCAAAAAGGGACCAAAUUUUCAAUUUUCAGCUAAUGUGGGUCUAAUUAAGGCUAUUCUGGUAUAUUUGAUAUUAAAAUACUCUCUGGGAGUCCUUUUCAUGAAAUCCCAUCAGAAUUAACAUUUUCAAAAAUGAAAACAUUUAAAAUUGGUGUUUGAGUUGCAGUGCUGAUGCAGCGGUUGGUUCAGUGUUUUCUUGUCUUCCGGAGCUUUAUUAUCACGUCAGUAUAGUGUCAUCUAUCUGUUCCUCAGAGUCAGCCUGGCUAGCCAGCUUCUUCAGAGAUCUCCGGCAGCUUUCAUUGAGAAGCUCCAAGCUGGCAGCAUCUAGAAUCCUGGAAACGGACUGUGGAAGGAAGAGACCAGAACUCAGAGAAGAAUCAGGACAGGCAUGCAAUUUGACGAUAAAAUUGCAUCUAUCAUGGGAUAAUCUUCAGAUUGUGCUUGGAGAUUUUUGUUCCGUUUUGUCUGGUAACACAGCAAACCUGCACAUCUUUAAAAGCCACUCCCAACAAGCUCUUGCAACAGAACUCAUCAGCUCUCAUGUAGCACUUACUCUGUCAGCAGUGGCAUUACUGAGGAUCAUCUCCUGAACGCUGUUGUAGUAUUUGGGGGAACACAGCCUGCUGGGAGCUACAUUUACAGCCACCGAGAGAGCCAGGCUUCGUCCAUGUCUCACCAUCCAGUCGAUUCCAGAGACAUCCGCUGCAAAAGGAAAAGAACAAUAGUGAGGCUCCCCUAUCUGUUUCCACCUGAUCUAAGAAAGCUUUUGUCAGUUUGUCAAUUCACUCCUAUAAAAUGAAAUAGUAAGCAGCAUCUAAAGCAAUGCCUUGCUUCUUCCAAUCCUCCCAAAGAAAAGCCAUACAAACAGUGCUUAAAUGCAACACCUCGACCAGACAGGAACACCCUCUGGGCACAUACGGAAAUCUGACACAAACAAGUGACUUUGUACUGUUCAACCCAGGUAUUUCUGAUGGUGUCAGUCACAUGUAAUUAAGCCCACAUCACUUAGUGCAUGAAGGAGCUUGCAAUCAGAAUUACACAAGAUCUGAUUCUGUAAUAAAAUUGUAAAAGUCAUCUGUAAUUUGAAACCAGCUAACAAAUUCCCUUUUUAAUUUCAGAGGAGAGUGCCACAGCACUACCAACUGCUACAAGUUCCCACAAAAUUCAUGCUUUUGUCUAACUUAGAGGCAAAUGAGUCAAUACUCCAAAAGCCUCUGAACCCAUUAGAUGUGAUGUGUGACAAGAUUAAGCCAAUCUAAGAUCACAGUGUCAUCAAGAAAGGUGGACCUGCUCUCCCCUCCCCCCUGCCUGAACAUCCUGUCAUCUCCCAUCUUCUCUGUCAGCACUAGCAAUUACUCAGCCACGCUGGUACUUUCAUCAACUCAUCUGAAAAUAAAUCCAGAAAAAAAGCAUGGGUAGCCCCAAAUUAAAACCAUGACCUUGUACUCAACCAUGUAUUAGGGUGUACAAAUGAAUAGCCAUAAACAAAGAAAAGUAUGAGAAAAUCUACAGUAGAGGCUCAUGGUUAAGAUAAAAAGGGAGGAACCUAACUAACCAGACACAAAGUUUCCCUGAACCAAUAGCUGAAAAGGUAUUUUCUUUCGCUUUUCAGUUUCCAUUCCAUUCAUAAUAAACAGCUUCACCUACCCAGUAAGUGUUGGUGGAGAACAGUACUGAGCUCCUCUUCUGACAGGAACGCACACAGUUCUGCUAAGCAACCAGCUGAGGCCAUGCGGGUUGCAUCCUAACAAGGAAAGAAAAGACUGGUUGAACUCAAUACGUAUGAGUGAUAGUCAGCAAGAAGGGCAAGUGACAGAAGACAGUAUGAAAUCAGAUGAAGGAAAUAAAUAGCAGCAUUUAAAUAAAAAGCAUCCUUUCACUCCUAUUGCCUAUGGAUUUGUGUCAGUUCGCAAGGUCUCUGGUAUAUAAUGGAACUUAAAGCCAAACCCACAGUCAAUAAAAGCCAACAGAGACUGAAGAACAGAUCUUACAUAAAUUCUGAUGUGUUACAUGGAAAAGUAAUAAAGAUGAAAAUGAGUA